rnacentral:rRNA from 1 species
AUUGAACGCUGGCGGCAUGCUUUACACAUGCAAGUCGAGCGGCGGCGCGGGGGCAACCCUGGCGGCGAGCGGCGAACGGGUGAGUAAUGCAUCGGAACGUAUCCUCGAGUGGGGGAUAACCCAGCGAAAGUUGGGCUAAUACCGCAUGAGCUCUGAGGAGGAAAGCGGGGGACCUGCGAGGGCCUCGCGCUGGAGGAGCGGCCGAUGUCCGAUUAGCUAGUUGGUGGGGUAAAGGCUUACCAAGGCGACGAUCGGUAGCUGGUCUGAGAGGAUGAUCAGCCACACUGGGACUGAGACACGGCCCAGACUCCUACGGGAGGCAGCAGUGGGGAAUUUUGGACAAUGGGGGCAACCCUGAUCCAGCCAUGCCGCGUGAGUGAAGAAGGCCUUCGGGUUGUAAAGCUCUUUCGGACGGAACGAAAUGGGCGGGACUAAUACUCCUGUCUGAUGACGGUACCGUAAGAAGAAGCACCGGCUAACUACGUG